rnacentral:lncRNA from 1 species
AUGUCCGAGGCGCUCUGUCGCCGGCCUUACCCCGGGGACUUGUUUGGCCGCUGGAAAGGAUCCAGAAGGCCACUGCCCUUGGCCCACCCCGCCCCCCUCUCCAGGNGGCCGCCGAGCACGGCCGCCGCGGCGCCGGCUUCCGGGCGGAGGGAAGCACCUGCCUCCGCCCACCUUGACCCCGAGGCCGGCGCCCAGAGCUCCCGGCGCCCCUCCCGGGCUGUCCUCACGGAGGUCUCUGGAGGGCGAAACCUGGAUCCUCGCGGCCUUCGAGUGCUCGCUCCCCUGCCGGGGGACGGAGUGGGGGGUGGGGGCGACCCGGGUACCCAUGACCGAGGCCCGCUCCGCAGGGCCGAGAGAGUUCGACGCUCCCAAGGAGGGAGUCUCCAUGGAGGAAUUCCUCCUGCUUCGCUUUCAGAGUUGAAAGCCUGGAGGCCGUCGGUUCUGCAAAGAGAAGCGGUCGGGCGCGGGCAGGCAAGCAGCUGAUGAAAAUAAUUGUCCUAGCACACACAGCCCUGCGCCCAGGGGCGCGCGUACACACACACACACACACACACACACACACACACACACACAACUUGCCUCAUCUAGCUACCCAACCUUAGUAUUCCGGGCAUGCGGUUUUCAACAACUUGCUUGACACAAUAACAAAGACAUUUAAAUGCCAGGACGCAGACUUCACUUUUUAACCUGCUGAGAAGAGCUACUUUCAAAGCUUCCCCACCGCGAAUAAACUGACAAAAAAUAUGGGGUGCACUUAUAAAUUAAACACCUUACCCUCAAAGCGACGUGCGUUAAUCAGGUUUCUAAGGCAAUAGCCAUCUCUGUCUUUUCCUAUUCACCCAAAUAAUGCCACAAGAAGGAACCCCUUUACAGAAGAGAAAGCCAGGGGGAAAAAAUGAAUUAUACCCAUUGCUAGUAAAAAUCAUCUUAAAUCAAUAGAGCACCACUUGAACUUGAGUUUCCAUUGUUUCACUGAAUCAUCAAUGUUUUUAAUUAAACAGAGCUACCCUUUCUGUUAAAACAUUACAUAAAAGGGUUAGGUUUCUACUUUUGUUGAGGCAGCUGGCGUUUGUUGGCUGUUGUGUUUGAGCAACAGACUGUUCAAUAGAAGCGAGAAAUAGCUCAACGCGCUCUUAAUAGACCUGUUUCAACAAUGUACCUUGAAAAGGAAUACAUUGUGUUAUUGUGUUAGUUUGCUACAAACCUAUUAAAAGAAAAAUAGCAUCCAUCAGGUCUAACAAAACGCAUUUGUAUUAUACGUACUUAUCUGCUUCAAAUACACUUCUUGGCACAAUGUCUAGAAUUCAACUAGAUCAUCAAGAGCUGGACAGAAUAACACAUACCAGUUAGGUAAUGAUACACGGGCUAAAAAUAAUAAUAAAGAAAGGUCUAAGCAGAAAGUAAUCGUUACUUUUUGUUUAUCAUGAGAAAUACAGGCAACCCUUCUUCAAUUGAAAAUACAUUGCAAAAAUGUGGACUCAUAACAAAAACAAUUUUUAAAAUAUUCUUCAAAUUUAGAAAUAUUCUAACAUGGGAAUAUUGCUUCAAAAUCCAUACUUGGAACGAAUCUGAUACACUUUCGAUGGUAAUUUGUUUCAGACAGAGAUUCAAGGCACAAGCGAUGCAUUUUUGAAGCAGAAUUAAAUAGCGCAAAGAGCUGGGUUCUUUAGGGAAAUGCGUGAAACAAACAAAUCGAAAGCAAGGGUUCCAGCCAAGAGGUUGGGGAGCAGCGAUGUCUGGCAGUAGGAGAGGAAGUGCUUCUUGAAAGUGCUCUCUUAAAAAUGAUUUUUAAACUGACGUUAUCGUAUUUUAAACACAAAACGAAAUUUGAAGCAAAGAAAUGGGCGACUUCGCCACUAUGAGACAGAACCUACAGUAUGUUUCAGAGAGGGCUGCCACUUGGACCACAAACCUUAGAAAAACAGUAGCAAAUGAUGAAGCCAAUUGAAUUCUGAGAUGAGCUUCAAAGAAAAUACACCUAAAGUAGCAUCUGUCAGAGGGAGACACCUUUUGCUUCCACAAAAAGCAAUUGGUUUGGUUGCCAACCUCAGGGUGCCCAGCAUUCAACUUUCAACUGCAAAAAUGUUGGGGACACAAGAGAAUAGACUACAAGUGAACUCAGUUGUCAAAAAAAGAGAGAACUUACAUAAAUUACAAUACCACCCUAUGAGAGAUAUCUAUGUUAACAGAUAGAUGAAGCAAUAUUUUCCCAGAUAAAAUCAAUUGUUUUUUACUUAUCUGAAUUAAUAAAUUAUCAUGUGAAGAUUUAGAAAAAUGUCACCCUGAAACUUUAGGUGACAGUUUUCCCAUAAUUUAAAAUAACCGUGAUAGACUUCUCUAGAAGGCAUUUGAAGUCAGAUGGCUGAUAUGACUGCUUUCUUUAGCUAAAACAUUUUCUUUUCACAAGAAGGGUGUGUAUAUGCAUGUACUGGGAGGUAGUUGAGGUAUGUUUGAUUUAUAGUUUAAGAUUUCUCCUCCUUAGUCCAAAUCAGUUUUUGGAUUAAUUCUCUGGGAUUAAAAAAAAAAAUGAAUCAAAAAUCACAAACUGCAUAUCAUGAAAAUAACCUCUCAUACCAUUAACAGAAAAGUUGAUAUUUUCAAGGUGAGAUAUUUUUGAUGUAUCAGAUAAUCUACCAAAGAUGAAAGGAAGUUCACAAUAAAUUGAUUUAGCCAUGACAAGUAA